rnacentral:rRNA from 1 species
CCUACGGGAGACAGCAGUGAGGAAUAUUGGUCAAUGGGCGGAAGCCUGAACCAGCCAAGUCGCGUGAGGGAUUAAGGCCCUAUGGGUCGUAAACCUCUUUUGUCAGGGAGCAAUGGCGUCCACGUGUGGGCGUAUGGAGAGUACCUGAAGAAAAAGCAUCGGCUAACUCCGUGCCAGCAGCCGCGGUAAUACGGAGGAUGCGAGCGUUAUCCGGAUUUAUUGGGUUUAAAGGGUGCGCAGGCGGAGGUGCAAGUCAGCGGUCAAAUUGCGGGGCUCAACCCCGUACUGCCGUUGAAACUGCAUCCCUUGAGUGCGCGAGAAGUAUGCGGAAUGCGUGGUGUAGCGGUGAAAUGCAUAGAGAUCAUACAGAACACCGAUUGCGAAGGCAGCUUACCAAACUACGACUGACGUUGAGGCACGAAAGCGUGGGGAGCAAACAGGAUUAGAUACCCCUGUAGUC